UACGGAGGGUGCAAGCGUUGUCCGGAUUUAUUGGGUUUAAAGGGUGCGUAGGCGGCCCGUUAAGUCAGUGGUGAAAGCCUCCAGCUCAACUGGAGAACUGCCAUUGAUACUGGCGGGCUUGAGCACAGACGAGGUAGGCGGAAUUGAUUGUGUAGCGGUGAAAUGCAUAGAUACAAUCAAGAACACCGAUUGCGUAGGCAGCUUACUAGGCUGUAACUGACGCUGAGGCACGAAAGCGUGGGGAGCGAACAGG
rnacentral:rRNA from 1 species